GACGAACGCUGGCGGCGUGCUUAACACAUGCAAGUCGAACGGUGAAGCUCCAGCUUGCUGGAGUGGAUCAGUGGCGAACGGGUGAGUAACACGUGAGCAACCUGCCCCUGACUCUGGAAUAAGCGCUGGAAACGGCGUCUAACACUGGAUACGAGAAGGGUCCGCAUGGGCACUUUCUGGAAAGUUUUUCGGUUGGGGAUGGGCUCGCGGCCUAUCAGCUUGUUGGUGAGGUAAUGGCUCACCAAGGCGACGACGGGUAGCCGGCCUGAGAGAGCGACCGGCCACACUGGGACUGAGACACGGCCCAGACUCCUACGGGAGGCAGCAGUGGGGAAUAUUGCACAAUGGGCGAAAGCCUGAUGCAGCGACGCCGCGUGAGGGAUGACGGCCUUCGGGUUGUAAACCUCUUUCAGCAGGGAAGAAGCGAAAGUGACAGUACCUGCAGAAGAAGCACCGGCUAACUACGUG
rnacentral:rRNA from 1 species